GUGAUAAUCAGAGGACCUCAAAGAGAACUGGGUUAUAACAUCAGGAUUUUUAGCUAAGAAGCUGUGUUGAGCCAGAAGAUGUGAGCCUGCUGUCUCUGGAGGGAUGGAGUGCUGGUGCUACCUUGCUGUUGUGACCUGCUUCUCUUGGGAAGAGUCUGUGAGAUGGAAAUGAAAAACCCUGAAAUUUGGCACUGUGGAGGGAGCCCCAGAAUACCAAAUCUGUGUUUGACGGAUCAGCUAGAGACUGACCUCAAUAGCAACAAUCCUCGUGGUCUGGGCAGCUUUCCAGCUAAUGAGGGUAUUUCAAGAGGAGGUGGGUGAAUCACAGUUGAUAUUUCCCUGGUCUUUAUCCAUUUUCAUAAAGGGAAGGGGGACGCAUCAGAGAAAACAUCAGAGUAUGUCUGACACAUGGUCUGGAAGCGAAGCAAAGGCAACUGCAGUAUCCUGCAUUGUUGGCAGAGAUGUUCUCUUCAUUUACUGUCUGAGAGGUGCUGCAGCAGAAAAACAGAUCUGCUUCCUCAAAGACUGUAGGUCAGUUAUGUUCUCCAGAUGGGAGGGACAGUCUUAAUUUGUUGUUAGGUCUCACCCAUCUCCCAGGAAGGAGCCUCCAUUUCUUUUAACUUUAGACUGUUAUGUUUUGCCCAAACAACAGGUUUCUCAAGGCUUCUUCUUGAGCCAGGUGAGAAACAUGAAAUAGAUGAAUGCAAAAUACUAUCUUCUUCCUUUGUAAUUAGUGCAAAUGAAAAAGCCUUGAAGCUGAUGCUUUGCAAGUACUAAUUAAUAGGACUGUAAUUGUGACUACAUAUUGCUACUGUGGAGGAACUGGGCUGCCAAGUGUUGCUGAAGUCACGUAGCUCACCCUGGUUGCAAUGUUUUCUACUGAACAUCUUGCUGUCAGCUGCCACUAGAAGCAGGAAAUAUCAUAAAGCUGGGAAAGGCUGAUACCAUUUGUGCUUUGGAUUGGUUAUGCUUUCCACCUAUUGCUGUGAUGCUGAAAGCAUUGCAGCAGUUCUUCCAGCUCUUGGAGGGAGAUGGCUGCCAUACCGGAUUAAAGGCUGAAAUAGUUGUGAGACUGUGACGAAAUGAUAUACGCUGCCAGCAAACAUGGUGGAGGUCUGGGUGAGUGUACUUCAGGCUGGAGCCUCGCCUUCAUCCCUAUAAGGCUAACAUCACGAAUUAGUACUUCUCCAUUAGUACUUCUUACUUGUCUCUGGACCCAGUAGAUACUGCUGGACUUUGGGAUCAUGCCCUACUAUCUCUGAGUGUGGCCUGAGCACAUCCCCACUGGAAUGAGCUAUGAAGAGCUUUGUCUUCCUGCAAAGCAAAGAUGCCAACUUUAAAAUAAAAAUCUGGAAAUAAACAGUUAUGAUCCACUGAAAUUCAUAACAAAGGACAAAUUGAAUCCUUCAUGCUGUGUAGCAGCCAUAAAUAAAGGCUUUAUGGUUGAGAAGUUGCAGGCAAUGUUCCAGCAAAAUCGGAUUUAUUCCCUCCCCACCCCCUGCAGUAUAAAUCUCUGGAAAUGGGGGUUCCAAGGGCUGCUCUAACACAACGUUAACUGCAGCUUCUUAAACCAGACUCCCUGCCAGUAUUUACAGUUCACGUUCUGUGCAUGGUAUGUGUGUAUAUUACUGCACCAGCUUUUACAGUUGAUUUCUCAGUAGUCAUGUGAAACCAAAACAACUGAUGGACUGAACUUGGAAUCAUUUGUGUAUGACUCCAAUUUAAAGGAAAAAAAAAAAAGGGGUGUGGGGAAUGUCUGCUUUGUGGUUAGGAUAAAGAUUGCUUGGUUAAAGUUGCUCCAAGUCAACGGAGGCCCAACCUCCAUGAAUGCUGAGUUACUUCUCCCCCAACAUCGCUGGCCAAGUUUGCAGGAGAAACCUAAGAGAUGGAUUUUAAUGGGUGAUUGUACAGCUGCAAAGUGAGGAGCUUUGCAGUACCUCUAGUAACUGUCUAAUUAGAGUUCGAGCCCUGAGGUUUCAUAAAAUAAGGCCUUGGAGUAAUUGACUCCAAGUCUUAAAACUGCAGUCAAGCCAGGUCAUUCCCUGUUAAGGAAGAACAAUGUAGUUCACUGGAUUUUUAGUGAGAGAUUCUAGAUUCAGGAUCCAAGUACUGGUCAGUGUUAGCAGAAGGUCACUGAGAAAUGAAUAAAGAAAUCAGAAGCAAAACUUUAUGGUAGUCCGUUUUGGGGUAGAGGGGUAUGCUGGUUUGUGCUCCCUUCUUGUGUGCGUAGUAUACAGUAGAAGCUGGAUUCUAAAAUGAGGAAUUUGUUCUCAAGUAUCUUUAUGGAGAGGCUGAGUAGUGCUUCUGCACAAGUGAGACGGAUGUAGAGCCAGCGACCUCUCUGCUUUUGUCUACAGCUUGUUACAAACGCCAAACAAAAUGGCUUGCGUUGCUGGGACUUGAGAAGUGAUAUCUUUGAGCUCUGACCCUUCCUAACGGAAUCCAGACACUGCAUCUCUCUGCUUCCAUGUAUUUUAUAUGAAGCACCUGACGCAGCAGCAACAAAUAGCAGAGGAAUAAAUUCAACAGCUUGGAACAGUUUGCAUUCAUUAGCCAAGCCAGAGGUCACACUGCUGGUGUCACUGCUAGUGCCUGGCCUCUGCCAGGGCUAUUGCCCAUUGUGGGCCAUUGUGAGCUCUCCACAUGAUGGAGAUAAAGGGAUAAAUGUCUCCUGAUGCCUCUAAUGGCGCUUUUUGUACCCUGCAACCACGGUGACUUCCCAAACCUGCAUGUGCUGCUUUGGAAGUUUAGCAUCAGCCUGAAGUCCUCGGCUUGAGUUCCAGGUGCUGACACGCUAAAACAUAACAGAUAUGCUGAGGGCCUGGGAUCCCCUCCCUUUUCUUAAGAGCUACCUAAAAUAAGAUCAUUAGGCCCAAGUUAUCAGCAGCACAGGACUGUUAACUCCAGAGUCCCUUCAGCUUCCAGUUCAGAAAGGGUAAGUGCAUGUUUCUAAUUAUGUGGAUGUUGCAGUGAAUACAGCCACUUACCCCUCAGCUCCAGACAGAAAUGCUCCGUUCCCCAAAUUACUGCUGACUUGGGGUCGGGUUUUACUGCAGACAAGCAAAGCCAGUUCUUUGAGAGUGAGGUUAAUUCAAGCAGCUCUGUACAGAGCCUUAUCCUGCAAAUGGUUAAAUCCUUAACUGUGCCCACAAAAACGGUCUGAACAAUUAGCCAAGUGUGAAGCUACCUUUCUAUGGUUUAAUGGGACCAAAACCCUAGCCCCCUGUUCUCCCCUUGUUUCCCCCAUACUUUCCUCCAAUGAAAGUGGGGAGAAAGUGAAGCUGAUGAAUAUAAAACUGAAGUCAAGCUGUCUAAAGACUGUGCUCUCUUCACUUAUGGAAUUAAUCCAAACAUCAGGUGGCAAAGCUCACAGUAUCAAAAUAAGUCUCAAAGCAUUAAAGCUCAGUCCUCUCCUACUGUCUGGUCAGAAGAUGGCCCCCUGGGAAACAAUGAUGUGCAUGCUGGGAAACAAACCAUUGUGUUAUCAGAAACUUCUGAUCUUUCUUUCCUUCUGGUUUAGAAAUAUGAAUUUUACUGCAUUAAGCAAAAGGGAAUCGAUAUUUUGACUUAAAACAGGGUAACUCAAAGUGGCCUUAAUAACCCAUUUGUGUUGCUUCAGUACUUGAGUAAUGAAUGAUUGUAGUCUAAAGUGCUGCUAGUUUUUGCCUCAAGCUCUUGUCAAUCAUUACCUGAUAAAUAAAAACUUCAAACAGACUCCUUCUAACUUAACUGGGCAGUAUUUUUCUCCAAAGGAAUGGCUGAAUACAGUGAAUAAUGUGUUUGUGGCAGCUAUGGAAGUCAGCAAGCAGGGUAUCUGGAUGGAAACAUGCAGAGGAUGCGAAGCCUGAACUCCAAGGAUGGUUUUAUUUCAUCCAGAAGUGUCUGUUCCCAUUGCAGGCGGAGCUGAAGGGAGUGAAUAGAGCUGCAAAGGAAAUCCCGUGGCCCUUGGCACCACCACUGAGCUGCUCUUGUGCUAGCCCUGCUCUGCUUCUGUUUUUAGGAUCUACAGCUGACGCUUCCAUAGAAAUCAGAAAUCUUAAAAUUACCCACUCAUUUAAAUCAUUACCUCUUAUGAUAUGAACCUUGGCAGCGACAGAGGCAGCUUCCUGCCUGAGGACCAAAGGAUUCUAUUGUCAGAACUGGAACAGAUCUAAAACAGCUCAAUUAAGCAAACAUAACAUCCUCGAAGCCGGGCUUUGAAAGCAAGUUAAAAUAACUGAUCUAUAAAAUGUUAUAAAUGUGCUUUAAAAUGUCAUUACUCAGAUAAAUCCAGCAGUUCUGAAGCUGGUUCACUCAAGUUUUAUGGCCCUGCCUGUUUAUGGCAGUGUAUGUAUCCACAUCAAGGGUUCCUCUUCCAAAACAGUAGAUGAAGAGACAAAGCUACAGUAGCGCUCCAGACUGACAGAGGCUGCAAUGAGCUUGGGAAAGGAGUUUUGGCUCCUGGGCUGGGAAAGCUGCUAUGAAGCCCAUCCAGCAAAUUGUGAGUGUUUGUGGCAAAGCUGGAAACCAAGUGGUAUUUUGUGAUAUAAGGCUGGAUGUGUUGAAGUUGGUGGUGAAGCUUCUGUUGGCUGCUGUAUAGUGAGGCUGGCGCUGUAAGGAGUGAUGAUGUCUUUCUUCUUUCAUCCCUUUGCUGGAACCACAUCUGGCUUAAAAUGGGUUUCAGUGUGGAGAAUUUGGCCCAUACUGAGAAAUACUGGAAGUAUCUCUUUAUAAGACUAGUCGAGACAUACAAAGCCUGGGUAGACAUCAGUUAGGUCAAGAAAGGUCUGUCUUCUCACGCUUUGCUGGACUUCACAUCAGAACAUCAAGCAAACUUACUUAUAAACGUAUAAUCACUUAUGAAAGGUGAUAGUUUAACUCCAGAAAGCUGAUGAUUUAAGCUUCUGGAUCAGCAAAUACGUUUAUGUAAACUGGCACAACUCUGCUCACAGUUCAAAGUAAACAAGAACCCAAAAAUUGCUGUUAUGCCCUGAAGAUAUGAAGUUUAGUUAACACAGGAAUUUAGACCAUUAUUUUUUUCAGCUGCCUCCAUAGCAAUGCAAUGUGGUAUCCACAGUAGGAAACCUCCUGCCAGCAGCAUCUCCAAAAUAUGCUAAAACAAUCUAAAUUAGAAAAUGUCAGCUUCUUGGCUGAUGUUCCUUUGGAGUUUCUUUUUUCCUUCCUUGUGCCUCUAUAAUUUUAUUGGGAUGACUAAAUCUCUGAACUAUGUUAGCAGUAAACAGAACUAAUUUACCCCCCGCUUCUUUGAAACAGCUGCUGACAGCUGCACUAUAAUUCAAUCAUAGAUCUUUGCAAGGCACUCUGCAAAACAUAUUCAUAUUUUUUUCAUAUUCUUUCCUCUGUUGUAUUUGGACAGAAGGAGCUGCACCAAACAGUGACGUGCUGAUUU